rnacentral:lncRNA from 1 species
CCUGGCAAAAGCUUGUCAAAUUUUACUUUUCACUCCCUGUAGAUUAAUUAAUACAAUUAUCUCUAGAUAAAGCUAUGUAAUCAUUUAGUUAAAUAGUUCCGUUCACACUAACGAAUCAAACGAAAAAUCAGAUACUGAUUAAUAACUGAAUGUUACCCAUAUCAUAAUAUCCUGCUGUUCUCUAACGUUAAUAGCACUCUGUAAUUU